rnacentral:rRNA from 1 species
UACGGAGGGGGCGAGCGUUAUUCGGAAUUAUUGGGCGUAAAGGGCGCGUAGGCGGCUUGAUGUGUCAAAGGUGAAAUCCCUCGGCUCAACUGAGGAACUGCCUUUGAAACUGUCUGGCUUGAGGCCGGGAGAGGGUAGCGGAAUUCCCAGUGUAGCGGUGAAAUGCGUAGAUACUGGGAGGAACACCAGUGGCUAAGGCGGCUCUCUAGUACGGUACUGACGCUGAGACGCGAAAGCGUGGGGAGCGAACAGG